rnacentral:rRNA from 1 species
UACGUAGGGGCAAGCGUUGUCCGGAAUCAUUGGGCGUAAAGAGCGUGUAGGCGGCUCGGUAAGUCCGCUGUAAAAGUCCAGGGCUCAACCCUGGAAAGCCGGUGGAAACUGUCGAGCUAGAGUCCGGAAGAGGCGAGUGGAAUUCCUGGUGUAGCGGUGAAAUGCGCAGAUAUCAGGAGGAACACCCAUGGCGAAGGCAGCUCGCUGGCCUACAACUGACGCUGAGGCGCGAAAGCGUGGGGAGCAAACAGG